rnacentral:rRNA from 1 species
UCCGUAGGUGAACCUGCGGAAGGAUCAUUACCGAGUGAGGGCCCUCUGGGUCCAACCUCCCACCCGUGUCUAUCGUACCUUGUUGCUUCGGCGGGCCCGCCGUUUCGACGGCCGCCGGGGAGGCCUUGCGCCCCCGGGCCCGCGCCCGCCGAAGACCCCAACAUGAACGCUGUUCUGAAAGUCUGCAGUCUGAGUUGAUUAUCGUAAUCAGUUAAAACUUUCAACAACGGAUCUCUUGGUUCCGGCAUCGAUGAAGAACGCAGCGAAAUGCGAUAAGUAAUGUGAAUUGCAGAAUUCAGUGAAUCAUCGAGUCUUUGAACGCACAUUGCGCCCCCUGGUAUUCCGGGGGGCAUGCCUGUCCGAGCGUCAUUGCUGCCCUCAAGCACGGCUUGUGUGUUGGGCCCCCGUCCCCCUCUCCCGGGGGACGGGCCCGAAAGGCAGCGGCGGCACCGCGUCCGGUCCUCGAGCGUAUGGGGCUUUGUCACCUGCUCUGUAGGCCCGGCCGGCGCCAGCCGACACCCAACUUUAUUUUUCUAAGGUUGACCUCGGAUCAGGUAGGGAUACCCGCUGAACUUAAGCAUAUCAAUAAGCGGAGGA